ACACACCGCCCGUCACAUCAUGGGAGUCGGUAACACCCGAAGCCGAUAGUCUAACGAAAGAGGACGUCGUCGAAGGUGGGAUUGAUGACUGGGGUGAAGUCGUAACAAGGUAUC
rnacentral:rRNA from 1 species